AUCAUACUCCCUCCGUUCUGAAUUACUUGUCGCGGUUAUGGAUGUAUUUAGAUGUAUUUUAAUUCUAGAGACACCCAUUUCUGCGACAAGUAAUUUGGAACGGAGGGAGUAUAUA
rfam:Triticum urartu cultivar G1812 contig159253, whole genome shotgun sequence.